AGACCCAGGGGUGGGUGGCAGAGAGGGCCUGAGCUGCAGGGCCAGGGCCAGCCACUGUGGCUAAAGGUUCCAGCUCCCCACCUGCCCGCUGAGGCCACCGGUGGUGCUGACACCUGAGCCAACUCCAAGCCAGGAAGACCCUGACCUUGUCAUUUCACAGCCUCCCUACACCCCUAAAGGAAUAGAAACAGUUGCAAAACAGCCACGCCACAGUGUGCAAAGAAUGAUAAAGACAAUGCUGACGCCCCUGCAUGCGUUCUUCAGUUCACGAGGACAGGCUGUGUGGGGAGCACACAGGAGUGUCGCCUGCAGACACCAGGAGCUGGGUCCUGGGCAUGGCCAUGGCAAGGUGAGAUGACUCCAGCCCAGGGUCAGCUUGGGCAGUGCCUUGGGUGACCUGGCACACCUGAGAUGACCCCCACCAGUCCCAUGCACCCUGAGAAGUGGCACCAGCCUCCAGCAGCCCCUGACAGCCCCUCACAGACGGGGUGGCCAGGCCCAGCAGCAGCAGCUUGUACACACAACAGCUGCACUGCUUACAGCCCUGAAGCAGAAACCAGGAGGGUGGCCCCCAAGGGCCUGGAAGAGGGAGCGCUUUCUCCCCCGUGCUUGCCCUGGCUACAGGCCAUCUUGCCAGAAUAUGAGAGGGGCCACCCCAGCCGUCCACAAGAGCGGCCCGUUCCCUCGGGGCCCCAGGCGCAGGCCUCCCACUCCACCCUGGGUGCAUCUGGAUAGGGAACUGCAAAGACCCCUCUUGUGGACGUAGCAGGUAAACCUGAGCCAUGGAAGGUGGCAUCUCCUGCCUCCCGGGGGAGGUGCAAACUUCCAGAAUCUUCCUUUUCCUGACCAUAAGUCACUGUCAUCCCCCAUCUAUUUGUAAUAAAAUUUUCAAAAAUGAA
rnacentral:lncRNA from 1 species